GACGAACCGUCCUAACGUUAUUCGGAAUCACUGGGCUUAAAGGGCGCGUAGGCGGAUGGGCAAGUCCGGAGUGAAAUCUUUCGGCUUAACCGGAAAAGUGCUUUGGAUACUGCUCGUCUUGAGGGAGGUAGGGGCAUGUGGAACUUCUGGUGGAGCGGUGAAAUGCGUUGAUAUCAGAAGGAACGCCGGUGGCGAAAGCGACGUGCUGGCCCUCUUCUGACGCUGAGGCGCGAAAGCUAGGGGAGCAAACGGG
rnacentral:rRNA from 1 species